GCGGUGAUGGGGAAAAGAAAGAGGAGGAUGAGCUAUGGUGGUUAAAAGGCACAGUGGUUGGUGGUGAUGGAUUCAAUCAUAGUGGAGGGGUGAAGCAAAAUUGAAGAAGGAAAAAGGUGGUGGCUAGCAAAAAGAGAGAGAAAAGGAUCAGAAAGGAACAAAAAAAGAAAAAUAUGGAAUAGAGGGAGGAGGGGAUGACAAUGAGAGGUAAGAAGUGAAGGAAAAGGGUGGUCAACCUAGUCUAGGUUCAAUGAACCACUUCUAUUGCAAUGGUGGAAAGAAAUGGUAAGAGAGGGAGAAAUGGAGUAAAAAGGGGGAUCAUGUUACCUUAACUUAUGGUAAGUUUGACUUUUCAAAAAGGAAAGGAAUCCUCCUAGCAUGGUAACAAGAGGGCUGGACGAAAA
rnacentral:lncRNA from 1 species